AGCUUGCUCUGGGAAAGAACUAGUGAGAUGAGAUCAAAUCUAUCUAUCGUGCCUGUAGCUGUAGAGAAAAGCUCAGAGUAGGAAAGGCAACUGCUGGGAAGAAAGUAAGUAAGAAAAGCUGUUCAGGUAGGAAGGCCGGAGAGAGAGCCUGAUAAAGCAAAGAAGAGACUGGAGACCCAGAGGGGAAGUAAAGAGUAAGGCCUUGUAUUGCUUAUCCCUUGAAAAAUGUGACUUCUGUAGAAUUGUGGCAAAAUAUGGACUGUCCUUGUGAUGGAAAAGCUUUACAUCAAGAAUGGAAGCAAGAGAAGUGCCCCAAAGAGGAAGUCUGGGAAUCCCAGCGUGAGGUGACAUGAGAGCUCCAGGCACAAACUAAUCAAGACUGUAUGCAGCAGCCGCUGCAGGUAGCAAGACUCUGAAGAAAUGGCCCUCCUGCAAUUAAGAAAUCCUUGUUUUCUGAGAGACAGGUGAUUACCCUAAUAGAACUGUGCCCACUGGGUAGCAGAAUGCAGCUGUGUGGAGUGGGUUAAAAUUCAUGUCAGACUCCAUGACCUCUUGGGAGAGUUUACUAAUGCAUCUGAAAAGAAGUUAUUCAAAAGUGAAUGAAAGAACCUGGGGGAUUGGUGAAUGGCUAACAUUUAUAUAGUGCUUUUCAUCCAAAGGUCCCAGAGUGCUCAGCAAAUUUACAAACUGCAUGUGUACACAGAGCUCACCUCAGCCCACGUGCUGUGGGGUAGAUUGUGGCAAACUUUAAAGAGUGCACAGUAACAUUUUUCUAUCUAGUUUAUUUAUAAAAGGUCACUAUGGAGCCUGGGUUGCUAUGGCCUUAGCAUUGUUGCAGAGAACAAUUUUCCUGAAGGGGGGAAUCUGAGGUAGUUGUAGUGAAAUCCAUUAUGGCUUUAUACAUUGCGUUCAGGACAUCAGCUGUACCAGUGUAAAUUAGAGCAGUUUGUUUAAAUGUGGCUGCCAGCAAUAACCCUGAGGAGCUGUUCUAGAAGCCAAAGAUAGCCAGACUGCAGCAGUGCCAGAGCUUUUAAACCAUUCAAAAAUCUGCUAGAAUUAUUCUCCAGAGUCUGUAUCUCCUAACUUUUUGCUUCCAUUACAUCAUUGGAGCAGCAUAAAGGGGCUGUAACACAAUGUAUAGUUAGGCCCUGUGUGUCUGUCUGACUUAAGUUAGAAGGAAAGGUCCAAGGAGCAGGGACUGAAGUGCCAUCUGUAUUUUGUACAGUACCGACCACACUGACAGUACUUACUGCUGGAUGUGUGCACCCACACAAAAUAGUAUCAAUCUCAAAGGUACUAACUGUAUAGAGAGAGUGACUAAAACUUUUUUACAGGUACCUAUGAACAAAGAUGUCUAGAAGAUGGUUAAGCUCAUGUAGAGAAAUACAUUGUACCAGUAUGGUCCUAUUGGGUGAUUAGGCUAAUAGAGAAACUUCUUAAGUGUAGAUCAACAAGAAGUGAUGAUACUUAUGGUUGAUUUCACUAUUGCAUAGUUUAUCUCAUAACUGCACACCACAAUAAAAGACUAAGCUAAAUAAUGUAGUAAA